AUUGAACGCUGGCGGCAGGCCUAACACAUGCAAGUCGAGCGGCAGCACAAGGGAGUUUACUCCUGAGGUGGCGAGCGGCGGACGGGUGAGUAAUGCCUAGGGAUCUGCCCAGUCGAGGGGGAUAACAGUUGGAAACGACUGCUAAUACCGCAUACGCCCUACGGGGGAAAGAGGGGGACCUUCGGGCCUCUCGCGAUUGGAUGAACCUAGGUGGGAUUAGCUAGUUGGUGAGGUAAUGGCUCACCAAGGCGACGAUCCCUAGCUGUUCUGAAAGGAUGAUCAGCCACACUGGGACUGAGACACGGCCCAGACUCCUACGGGAGGCAGCAGUGGGGAAUAUUGCACAAUGGGGGAAACCCUGAUGCAGCCAUGCCGCGUGUGUGAAGAAGGCCUUCGGGUUGUAAAGCACUUUCAGUAGGGAGGAAAGGGUGAGUCUUAAUACGGCUCAUCUGUGACGUUACCUACAGAAGAAGGACCGGCUAACUCCGUGCCAGCCGCCGCAGUAA
rnacentral:rRNA from 1 species